CCUUAUGGUUGUAAAGCACUUUAAGCGAGGAGGAGGCUACUUUAGUUAAUACCUAGAGAUAGUGGACGUUACUCGCAGAAUAAGCACCGGCUAACUCUGUGCCAGCAGCCGCGGUAAUACAGAGGGUGCGAGCGUUAAUCGGAUUUACUGGGCGUAAAGCGUGCGUAGGCGGCUUAUUAAGUCGGAUGUGAAAUCCCCGAGCUUAACUUGGGAAUUGCAUUCGAUACUGGUGAGCUAGAGUAUGGGAGAGGAUGGUAGAAUUCCAGGUGUAGCGGUGAAAUGCGUAGAGAUCUGGAGGAAUACCGAUGGCGAAGGCAGCCAUCUGGCCUAAUACUGACGCUGAGGUACGAAAGCAUGGGGAGCAAACAGGAUUAGAUACCCUGGUAGUCCAUGCCGUAAACGAUGUCUACUAGCCGUUGGGGCCUUUGAGGCUUUAGUGGCGCAGCUAACGCGAUAAGUAGACCGCCUGGGGAGUACGGUCGCAAGACUAAAACUCAAAUGAAUUGACGGGGGCCCGCACAAGCGGUGGAGCAUGUGGUUUAAUUCGAUGCAACGCGAAGAACCUUACCUGGCCUUGACAUACUAGAAACUUUCCAGAGAUGGAUUGGUGCCUUCGGGAAUCUAGAUACAGGUGCUGCAUGGCUGUCGUCAGCUCGUGUCGUGAGAUGUUGGGUUAAGUCCCGCAACGAGCGCAACCCUUUUCCUUACUUGCCAGCAUUUCGGAUGGGAACUUUAAGGAUACUGCCAGUGACAAACUGGAGGAAGGCGGGGACGACGUCAAGUCAUCAUGGCCCUUACGGCCAGGGCUACACACGUGCUACAAUGGUCGGUACAAAGGGUUGCUACACAGCGAUGUGAUGCUAAUCUCAAAAAGCCGAUCGUAGUCCGGAUU
rnacentral:rRNA from 1 species